GACGUAGGGCGCGAGCGUUGUCCGGAUUUAUUGGGCGUAAAGAGUUCGUAGGCGGCUUGUCGCGUCGAAUGUGAAAUCUCAGGGCUCAACCCUGACAUUGCAUUCGAUACGGGCAGGCUAGAGUUCGGUAGGGGAGACUGGAAUUCCUGGUGUAGCGGUGAAAUGCGCAGAUAUCAGGAGGAACACCGGUGGCGAAGGCGGGUCUCUGGGUCGAUACUGACGCUGAGGCGCGAAAGCGUGGGGAGCAAACAGG
rnacentral:rRNA from 1 species